GAUGCUUCCAUUUCCUCUGCAACACACAUUUGGUUAAUAAUAGUGACAAAGCAUAAUCAACAGGGCUGUAAUUGGYUGACUAAAACUGGGUACAUGUCUAAAAGUUCUCCUGCUCCUCAACACAACGUUUAUCCCACGUUUUUUAAAAGAUAUUUCAUAACUUAUAUUUCUUUUUUUUUCACUUUUUCAUUUGUUGAGAAAAAAAUGUGGCAAUAACAGUUUGUCGUAGUUAGCGGACUCCCUGUGUAAAUACGCAUCAAAAACAAAAUGGCCGAAAAUUCAAGAUGGUGGAUCAUAUCGAAAAUUUAAUAAAAAUAAGGUUAAAGUGAAUUUCUUGAUGGUUGGUCGGUGGCACGAGGAUAUUGUUAUAUAAGACCAGUUAUUCAAUCGGAUGAUGCGAUCAUAUCACAGGCAGAAUUACCUCAUCUAGUUUUGCCCAACAGGAUACACAUGCCUAAGUUCUUCGCAGGGUCUCGUGUGUUCACUCCACAGAUUAAGGAGGAGUACUAGCCUGGUCUGUUGGAUGAGAGCAACGUCCUAUGGCCAAGUCCAAGUUCAAUAUUCUCAAAGAGUGUGCAAUAUGCUUUGGAUGUGCAUUGGAAGAUGAUAAACUCAGCAAGGAUACCGCAAAGCAUCUCCGAAAUAAUUAAGUAGCACCCCGCGAAGGUAAGCAGUAACCGUUUACGAUGAGAUGUCCUCAGCAAUUACCGAAGACAUUUUGCAGUUGUUCAAUUUCGUGACUAAGAAGCGAAACUUUACCGUGUACAACGAGAUGUCCUCAGCAAUUUCCGAAGACAUUUUACAGUUCAAUGUCGUGGUAACAAGUGAAACUUUACCGUGUACGACGAGAUGUCCUCAGCAAUUACCGAAGACAUUUUACAGUUCAAUGUCGUGAUAACAAGUGAAACUUUACCGUGUACCAAGCAAAUGUUUACAGCAAUUAACGAAGACAUUUUGACUUGAAGUUACCAGAAUGAAAAGUGAAUUUUUACCAUACUUUAAGAGAUGUCCUCAGCAAAUACUGGGCACAUUUCACGAAAUUAUUCUUAUAAAGAAAUUUUCAAUAACCUUUAGUUAUUUAUGAACGAUUUUAUAAAUAGAGUAGAGUGUAGUAGACAUUCAUAGAAAUGUUGCUGCUCUUGAGUGGCACAGAUUAUAACAUGAUAUGUAAAAAUGAUACAGUUUUUCAAUCCCGUCAAAGAUAGUAUUAAAUCGUCAAA